rnacentral:rRNA from 1 species
GACGAACGCUGGCGGCGUGCUUAACACAUGCAAGUCGAACGAUGAAGUUCCUUCGGGAAUGGAUUAGUGGCGAACGGGUGAGGAACACGUGAGAAACCUGCCUUUCAUUUUGGGAUACCCACGGGAAACCGGGGCUGAAACCGAAUACUCCGUUUCGGCGGCAUCCCUGAGCCGGGAAAAAAUGUUGAUGAAAGAUGGUCUCGCGGCCUUGCGGCUAGUUGGUGAGGGAAUGGCUCACCAAGGCAACGCCGGGUAGCCGGCCGGGGUAGGGCGACCGGCCACACUGGGACUGAGACACGGCCCAGACUCCUACGGGAGGCAGCAGUGGGGAAUAUUGGGCAAUGGGCGCAAGCCUGACCCAGCGACGCCGCGUGAGGGAUGAAGGCCUUCGGGUUGUAAACCUCUUUCAGUAGGGAAGAAGCGAAAGUGACGGUACCUAAAGAAGAAGCACCGGCUAACUAUGUGCCAGCCGCCGCCGUAA